rnacentral:rRNA from 1 species
UACAGAGGUCCCAAGCGUUGUUCGGAUUCACUGGGCGUAAAGGGUGCGUAGGUGGUGGGGUAAGUUUGAUGUGAAAGCUCCGAGCUUAACUCGGAAAUGGCAUUGAAUACUAUCCUGCUUGAGGUUUGGAGGGGGGGACUGGAAUUCUCGGUGUAGCAGUGAAAUGCGUAGAUAUCGAGAGGAACACCAGUGGCGAAGGCGAGUCCCCUGGACAACACCUGACACUGAGGCACGAAAGCUAGGGGAGCAAACAGG